rnacentral:rRNA from 1 species
UACGUAGGGUGCAAGCGUUAAUCGGAAUUACUGGGCGUAAAGCGUGCGCAGGCGGUUUUGCAAGACAGAUGUGGAAUCCCCGGGCUCAACCUGGGAACUGCAUUUGUGACUGCAAGGCUAGAAUCUGGCAGAGGGGGGGUAGAAUUCCACGUGUAGCAGUGAAAUGCGUAGAUAUGUGGAGGAAUACCGAUGGCGAAGGCAGCCCCCUGGGCUAAGAUUGACGGCUCAUG